CGCCUCUUGGCACAGUAUAAGAGGUCCAGCCUGCCCGGUGACAUAGUUUAACGGCCACGGUACCCUGACCGUGCGAAGGUAGCAUAAUCACUUGUUCUUUAAAUAGGGACUUGUAUCAAUGGCAUCACGAGGGCUGCACUGUCUCCUCUCUUCAAUCAGUGAAACUGAUCCCCCCGUGAAGAAGCGUGGAUUAAAUUAUAAGACGAGAAGACCCCAUGGAGCUUUAAACAAUGUGCCCACACUAUAUUAAUACAUCAACUCACUAGAAGCCCUGAGCACAAGUUUUAGGUUGGGGAGACCGCGGAGUACAAAUUAACCUCCACGACAAAUGGCUUAUGCCUUAUCCAAGAGCCACAGCUCCAAGAAUCAAUAUAUUGAUGUCUAUGAUCCGAUAUUCGAUUAACGAACCAAGUUACCCUGGGGAUAACAGCGCAAUCUACUUUGAGAGCCCUUAUCGACAAGUAGGCUUACGACCUCGAUGUUGG
rnacentral:rRNA from 1 species